rnacentral:rRNA from 1 species
GACGAACGUUGGCGGCGUGCUUAACGCAUGCAAGUCGAACGAGACGAUUGAAAGCUUGCUUUCGGAAGUCGAGUGGCAAACGGGUGAGUAACGCGUAGACAACCUGCCUUUGAGAUGGGGACAACAGUUCGAAAGGACUGCUAAUACCGAAUGUUGUAUAUUUUCCACAUGGAAGAUAUAUUAAAGAUGGCCUCUAUUUAUAAGUUAUCGCUCAAAGAUGGGUCUGCGUCUGAUUAGCUGGUUGGUGGGGUAACGGCCUACCAAGGCGACGAUCAGUAGCCGGUCUGAGAGGAUGAACGGCCACAUUGGGACUGAGACACGGCCCAGACUCCUACGGGAGGCAGCAGUGGGGAAUCUUCCACAAUGGACGAAAGUCUGAUGGAGCAACGCCGCGUGAGUGAAGAAGGGUUUCGGCUCGUAAAGCUCUGUUGUCGGGGACGAAUGUGCAGUAUUUGAAUAAAGUACUGCAAUGACGGUACCUGACGAGGAAGCCACGGCUAACUACGUGCCAGCCGCCGCGGUAA